rnacentral:rRNA from 1 species
UACGUAGGGGGCGAGCGUUGUCCGGAGUUACUGGGCGUAAAGCGUGCGCAGGCGGUUUUGCAAGCCGGAUGUGAAAUCCCCGGGCUCAACCUGGGAAUGGCAUUUGGGACUGCAAGGCUGGAGUGCGGCAGAGGAGACUGGAAUUCCUGGUGUAGCAGUGAAAUGCGUAGAUAUCAGGAGGAACACCGAUGGCGAAGGCAGGUCUCUGGGCUGACACUGACGCUCAUGCACGAAAGCGUGGGGAGCAAACAGG